UUGCCGGAAUUUUUGGGUUUUCCAGGGAGUAGGGCUUUGAAACUUUGUAGAUCAUUAGAAUUAAUGUUUUUCUACCAGGUGCUUUUUAAAUGAACAUUCUAAGUUGAAUAGAACAGAAAUUGGGUCCCGAAACACAAGUUUUUUUGAGUGAAAAAAACCAAAAUUGCCGGAAUUUUUGGGUUUUUUAGGGAGUAGGGCUUUGAAACUUUGUAGAUCAUUAGAAUUAAUGUUUUUCUACCAGGUGCUUUUUAAAUGAACAUUCUAAGUUGAAUAGAACAGAAAUUGGGUCCCGAAACACAAGUUUUUUGAGUGAAAAAAACCAAAAUUGCCGGAAUUUUUGGGUUUUUUAGGGAGUAGGGCUUUGAAACUUUGUAGAUCAUUAGAAUUAAUGUUUUUCUACCAGGUGCUUUUUAAAUGAACAUUCUAAGUUGAAUAGAACAGGAAUUGGGUCCCGAAACACAAGUUUUUUUGAGUGAAAAAAACCAAAAUUGCCGGAAUUUUUGGGUUUUUCAGGGAGUAGGGCUUUGAAACUUUGUAGAUCAUUAGAAUUAAUGUUUUUCUACCAGGUGCUUUUUAAAUGAACAUUCUAAGUUGAAUAGAACAGAAAUUGGGUCCCGAAACACAAGUUUUUUUGAGUGAAAAAAACCAAAAUUGCCGGAAUUUUUGGGUUUUUUAGGGAGUAGGGCUUUGAAACUUUGUAGAUCAUUAGAAUUAAUGUUUUUCUACCAGGUGCUUUUUAAAUGAACAUUCUAAGUUGAAUAGAACAGGAAUUGGGUCCCGAAACACAAGUUUUUUUGAGUGAAAAAAACCAAAAUUGCCGGAAUUUUUGGGUUUUUCAGGGAGUAGGGCUUUGAAACUUUGUAGAUCAUUAGAAUUAAUGUUUUUCUACCAGGUGCUUUUUAAAUGAACAUUCUAAGUUGAAUAGAACAGGAAUUGGGUCCCGAAACACAAGUUUUUUUGAGUGAAAAAAACCAAAAUUGCCGGAAUUUUUGGGUUUUUCAGGGAGUAGGGCUUUGAAACUUUGUAGAUCAUUAGAAUUAAUGUUUUUCUACCAGGUGCUUUUUAAAUGAACAUUCUAAGUUGAAUAGAACAGAAAUUGGGUCCCAAAACACAAGUUUUUUCAAGUGAAAAAAAACCAAAAUUGCCAAAAUUUUUGGGUUUUUUAGGG